CCUACGGGAGGCAGCAGUGAGGAAUAUUGGUCAAUGGACGAGAGUCUGAACCAGUCAAGUAGCGUGAAGGAUGACUGCCCUAUGGGUUGUAAACUUCUUUUAUAUGGGAAUAAAAUGUUCCACGUGUGGGAUUUUGUAUGUACCAUAUGAAUAAGGAUCGGCUAACUCCGUGCCAGCAGCCGCGGUAAUACGGAGGAUCCGAGCGUUAUCCGGAUUUAUUGGGUUUAAAGGGAGCGUAGGUGGAUUGUUAAGUCAGUUGUGAAAGUUUGCGGCUCAACCGUAAAAUUGCAGUUGAAACUGGCAGUCUUGAGUACAGUAGAGGUGGGCGGAAUGCGUGGUGUAGCGGUGAAAUGCUUAGAUAUCACGAAGAACUCCGAUUGCGAAGGCAGUUCACUGGACUGCAACUGACACUGAGGCUCGAAAGUGUGGGUAUCAAACAGGAUUAGAUACCCCUGUAGUC
rnacentral:rRNA from 1 species